rnacentral:rRNA from 1 species
GACGAACGCUGGCGGCGUGCUUAACACAUGCAAGUCGAACGGAAAGGCCCUGCUUUUGUGGGGUGCUCGAGUGGCGAACGGGUGAGUAACACGCGAGUAACCUGCCCUUGACUUUGGGAUAACUUCAGGAAACUGGGGCUAAUACCGGAUAGGAGCUCCUGCUGCAUGGUGGGGGUUGGAAAGUUUCGGCGGUUGGGGAUGGACUCGCGGCUUAUCAGCCUGUUGGUGGGGUAGUGGCUUACCAAGGCUUUGACGGGUAGCCGGCCUGAGAGGGUGACCGGCGACAUUGGGACUGAGAUACGGCCCAGACUCCUACGGGAGGCAGCAGUGGGGAAUAUUGCACAAUGGGCGGAAGCCUGAUGCAGCAACGCCGCGUGCGGGAUAACGGCCUUCGGGUUGUAAACCGCUUUCGCCUGUGACGAAGCGUGAGUGACGGUAAUGAGUAAAGAAGCACCGGCUAACUACGUG